rnacentral:rRNA from 1 species
AGAGCGAACGCUGGCGGCAGGCCUAAUACAUGCAAGUCGAACGGAUCCUUCGGGAUUAGUGGCGGACGGGUGAGUAACACGUGGGAACAUACCUUUUGGUUCGGAACAACACAGGGAAACUUGUGCUAAUACCGGAUAAGCCCUUACGGGGAAAGAUUUAUCGCCGAAAGAUUGGCCCGCGUCUGAUUAGCUAGUUGGUGAGGUAACGGCUCACCAAGGCGACGAUCAGUAGCUGGUCUGAGAGGAUGAUCAGCCACAUUGGGACUGAGACACGGCCCAAACUCCUACGGGAGGCAGCAGUGGGGAAUAUUGGACAAUGGGCGCAAGCCUGAUCCAGCCAUGCCGCGUGAGUGAUGAAGGCCCUAGGGUUGUAAAGCUCUUUGUGCGGGAAGAUAAUGACGGUACCGCAAGAAUAAGCCCGGCUAACUUCGUGCCAGCAGCCGC